GCACAGGGCUCUCUCCACCCCAGCCACGUGACUUACAGACUGUCCAGAGGAGCUGGCUCCAGAGCAGGCAGCGAGACCCCCUCUUCUUCCAGCAGCUUGAAGACCUCUCCUGUAGGAGACAGUCAAUCAGCAGGGGAAUGUGAAACCGGUGGGCCCAAAACAAGGUGUAUCCAGUCAAGCAGUGCUGAAGCCCAGAUGGGGGGCAGCAGACCGCCUGGGCCCUCACCCGUUGUGAGCACACAGUCCACCUCACGUGUCUGGUGCUCCUGGAUGAAGAAGUCGGGCCGAGAUGCCUCCAGCUUCUUGUCGUAGCAUGGCAUCACAGUCACGUGGUAGAUCUUGUCGGGGCUCAGACCCUGGGAGAAUGUGGGUAUGUGGGAGGAAGGGAAGGGUGUCCGGGCAUGACACGGAGGGGGUCAUGGGUACCACGGGCCUAGGCUCUACUCUCAAGGAAAGAAGCUGGAUUUGAGCACAGCUGGAAUGGCCUGGCUCCGGCAGUUCUGGCCCAGAGGCCUUCCCUCCCCUCAGUGCCGGGGGUGAAACGGCAGGAGUGAGCCACAGGGAAUGGGCCUGGGGGACUGACCAUGGCAUGAGGUCUGUGGUGCCAGCAUGUGGCCCAGCCCACCCUGGUGUGUGGCCAUGGGGCCACUCCCUCACAAGAAUCUAGUCCUCUGGAGGCUUCUCACCCAGUGUUACCUGCUGCUGUGCAAAGAAGUCCUUGACCAGGGAGCCCAUGACCUGCUGUGGUGACCGGGCGGUGCUGAUGUGAGGGACCAGGACGCUGCCAUGGGCCUUCUCUGCAUAGCAUAUCCAGCCUGAGGCGACAUGAGACAGAUAAGUCACGAGGCUGCCUCCCUGGCAGCAGUGACACAAGGCUGGGGGUGGGCAGCUUCCAUCAGGGCUGACAUCUCAGUAAGGAGGGGGCUCUCUCCCCUGUCAUUAUGACAAGUUUCUUCUGGCAGCCACGAGAUCACUGUGUGGGCAGAGGUGACUCUCAGGGCAGUCCCCCAGUCCCCAUACCCAGCCAGUUGUUCUGAGAGCAUGCGCACCUGGGCAGGCAGAGGUCAGCACGGGCAGGGCCUCCCCGCCACGGGCCUGUUCCCGGAAGCGCCGCACAAACUCCCGCUGGCUCUCAAGGAGGCUGAAGUUCCUGGAGAAGGCGGUGUCGAACACACGGUGCGCCCCUGUGGAGUCAGCAUGCCUCAGCCCGUGGAGGACAGUGAGGUGGCAGCACCAACCUCACCCCACGGCUGCCGCAGCUCCGUGUCCCAGGAAGGCUUGCUGUGCCCCAGAUGCCAGGGCUUGUGAGGACAGGACACCCCUCAGACAGUAGCCCUGCUGUUGGAGGUCACCCCAUCCCAUACGCAAAUGUCUAGCAAGGACUGAAAAAUUGAGAGGGGAAGGAAAAGCUACACAGAGAGAGAGAGAUGCCUACAGCACUGCUUCACCACUUAUGAAGCUUCUCUCCCUGGAGGUGGGGAUUAGAGGGCUUGAACUGGAGUCCUUGCACAUGGUAAUGUGUGUGCUUUACUGUGUGCACCACUGCCUAGGCUCCCCCACUGAAAAAUGUUUAUUAAAGAACAAGUGAAAAAGGGAAAAAGAAAAUGUGCCAAGUGUCAUUCUGAUACAGAUGACGCCAGGGAUCAGACUUAGGACCUCACGCUUGAGAGUCCAGUGCUUUAUCAGCUGUGCCACCGCCCGGGCUAGUAAGGUGUCUUAAGAGGCAGGACUUCUCCUGUUCAAGCCAGACUCCAGCUAUAGGCAAACCAGGCCAGUUCCCAAGGCCUGCAUGUGGGAAAGCAGCAGGCUAGCCCCAUGUGUACCUA